rnacentral:rRNA from 1 species
AAUCAACGCUGGCGGCGUGCCUAACACAUGCAAGUCGCACGAGAAAGGGGAGCAAUCCCUGAGUAAAGUGGCGCACGGGUGAGUAACACGUGAAUUAUCUACCUCCGAGUGGGGAAUAACUGAGAGAAAUCUUAGCUAAUACCGCAUAACACUUACGAGUCAAAGCAGCAAUGCGCUUGGAGAGGAGUUCGCGGCCGAUUAGUUAGUUGGCGGGUAAUGCCCACCAAGACGAUGAUCGGUAU